rnacentral:rRNA from 1 species
CUUUUUCCACCGGAGCUUGCUCCAUCGGAAAAAGAGGAGUGGCGAACGGGUGAGUAACACGUGGGUAACCUGCCCAUCAGAAGGGGAUAACACUUGGAAACAGGUGCUAAUACCGUAUAACAAUCGAAACCGCAUGGUUUCGAUUUGAAAGGCGCUUUCGGGUGUCGCUGAUGGAUGGACCCGCGGUGCAUUAGCUAGUUGGUGAGGUAACGGCUCACCAAGGCGACGAUGCAUAGCCGACCUGAGAGGGUGAUCGGCCACAUUGGGACUGAGACACGGCCCAAACUCCUACGGGAGGCAGCAGUAGGGAAUCUUCGGCAAUGGACGAAAGUCUGACCGAGCAACGCCGCGUGAGUGAAGAAGGUUUUCGGAUCGUAAAACUCUGUUGUUAGAGAAGAACAAGGAUGAGAGUAACUGUUCAUCCCUUGACGGUAUCUAACCAGAAAGCCACGGCUAACUACGUGCCAGCAGCCGCGGUAAUACGUAGGUGGCAAGCGUUGUCCCGGAUUUAUUGGGCGUAAAGCGAGCGCAGGCGGUUUCUUAAGUCUGAUGUGAAAGCCCCCGGCUCAACCGGGGAGGGUCAUUGGAAACUGGGAGACUUGAGUGCAGAAGAGGAGAGUGGAAUUCCAUGUGUAGCGGUGAAAUGCGUAGAUAUAUGGAGGAACACCAGUGGCGAAGGCGGCUCUCUGGUCUGUAACUGACGCUGAGGCUCGAAAGCGUGGGGAGCAAACAGGAUUAGAUACCCUGGUAGUCCACGCCGUAAACGAUGAGUGCUAAGUGUUGGAGGGUUUCCGCCCUUCAGUGCUGCAGCUAACGCAUUAAGCACUCCGCCUGGGGAGUACGACCGCAAGGUUGAAACUCAAAGGAAUUGACGGGGGCCCGCACAAGCGGUGGAGCAUGUGGUUUAAUUCGAAGCAACGCGAAGAACCUUACCAGGUCUUGACAUCCUUUGACCACUCUAGAGAUAGAGCUUCCCCUUCGGGGGCAAAGUGACAGGUGGUGCAUGGUUGUCGUCAGCUCGUGUCGUGAGAUGUUGGGUUAAGUCCCGCAACGAGCGCAACCCUUAUUGUUAGUUGCCAUCAUUCAGUUGGGCACUCUAGCAAGACUGCCGGUGACAAACCGGAGGAAGGUGGGGAUGACGUCAAAUCAUCAUGCCCCUUAUGACCUGGGCUACACACGUGCUACAAUGGGAAGUACAACGAGUCGCAAAGUCGCGAGGCUAAGCUAAUCUCUUAAAGCUUCUCUCAGUUCGGAUUGUAGGCUGCAACUCGCCUACAUGAAGCCGGAAUCGCUAGUAAUCGCGGAUCAGCACGCCGCGGUGAAUACGUUCCCGGGCCUUGUACACACCGCCCGUCACACCACGAGAGUUUGUAACACCCGAAGUCGGUGAGGUAACCUUUUGGAGCCAGCCGCCUAAGGUGGGAUAGAUGA